AUAUAAUCUCAACCCCUUUUUCUUUUUGUUGAAGGGUUUUGGAUGUGGGGGGUUUGCUGGCCUUCUUAAAGAGGGUUCAGCUCUCCUGAAAUGCAUUAGCAGAAACGACCUUGCUCAUUGGUGUGAUAACUAUCUACGCUUAUGAAUGUGAGGAGAACAGUUCAGCUUUCUAACAGUCUUUGGACAAUUCAUCAUUA
rnacentral:misc_RNA from 1 species